rnacentral:rRNA from 1 species
GAUGAACGCUGGCGGCGUGCCUAAUACAUGCAAGUCGAGCGAACAGACGAGGAGCUUACUCCUCUGACGUUAGCGGCGGACGGGUGAGUAACACGUGGAUAACCUACCUAUAAGACUGGAUAACUUCGGGAAACCGGAGCUAAUACCGGAUAACAUGUUGAACCGCAUGGUUCAACAGUGAAAGACGGUCUUGCUGUCACUUAUAGAUGGAUCCGCGUCGCAUUAGCUAGUUGGUAAGGUAACGGCUUACCAAGGCAACGAUGCGUAGCCGACCUGAGAGGGUGAUCGGCCACACUGGAACUGAGACACGGUCCAGACUCCUACGGGAGGCAGCAGUAGGGAAUCUUCCGCAAUGGGCGAAAGCCUGACGGAGCAACGCCGCGUGAGUGAAGAAGGUCUUCGGAUCGUAAAACUCUGUUAUUAGGGAAGAACAAAUGUGUAAGUAACUAUGCACGUCUUGACGGUACCUAAUCAGAAAGCCACGGCUAACUACGUG